rnacentral:rRNA from 1 species
UCCGUAGGUGAACCUGCGGAAGGAUCAUUGAAUCUAUCGAAUCCACACCGGUAACCAUCCACCCCUCUUGCUUAAAACCCAAGGGGCGCCAGUCCCCUGACCCAGGGCUUGCCCUGGUGUUCAGGUCUGGCGGGGUAGGCUCCGGCCUGCCUGGUUAAUUAUAACAAACCUUUAACACACACCAAACCUCAAACCAAACUGAAGCUUUUGGAAGGGAGGCUUUCAGCCCCCAUCCACAAACCAAAGACAACUCUCAACAACGGAUAUCUUGGCUCCCGUAUCGAUGAAGAACGCAGCGAAAUGCGAUACGUAGUGUGAAUUGCAGAAUUCCGUGAACCAUCGAAUCUUUGAACGCAAAUUGCGCCCGCGGCCUCGGCUAAGGGCAUGUCUGCCUCAGCGUCGGUUUACACCCCUCGCUCCCUUCUACUGGGAGCGGAUCUGGCAGUCUCAGUCGCCCUUUAUUGGGCUGACUGGGUCUGCUGAAGUGCAGAGGUUUGAGCAUGGACCCCGUUUGCAGGGCAAUAGCUUGGUAGGUAGGCGUCAGCCUGCAUUAGCCUGCUGUUGCCUGAGGGGACUUUGCUGGGAGCCUAGCAGGAAUUGGGUUUGGCUUAGGCCUUCCCAACUCUCUUUUUCGACCUGAGCUCAGGCAAGAUUACCCGCUGAACUUAAGAAAA